rnacentral:rRNA from 1 species
UGGAAUGGGGGCGUCAAUUACCCAUUCUAGACGGUAGGAGGUGGUGAAGAGAAGUACUGAGUGGUGGCCUUUUGGUUACCAACUUGGAAUGAACGUAAUUUAAGCAAUUCGAUGAGUAACUACUGGAGGGCAAGUCCUGGUGCCAGCAGCCGCGGUAAUUCCAGCUCCAGUGGCGUGAUUUAAAGUUGCUGCGUUUAAAACGCUCGUAGUUGGAUCACGCAGUAGUAUUCAGUUAUCUGGAUUUGGGCGAUGCUGACAUUUUUCUCCAUAGAUUAAUGAAUCUUUGCUAAUCCAGAUAAACCAGCUGAUUGCUACUAUUUGCACACAAGUAUGGUAUUUGGCCUUAAUUGAGUCGAGUAUCAUGUCUUGUGGAGUGUGCCUUGAAUAAAACAGAGUGCUCAAAGCAGGCGUAUGCUUGAAUGUUAUAGCAUGGAACGAACAAACGUGUAUUUGUCCCUUGUUAUUUGACAUUGAGGGCAACUUUGAUGUCGGAUACUUGUGCAGCACCCACCAAAAUACGGAUGUUGGUUUUCGUAUAAGGUGAUGAUUAACAGGAGCGGUUGGGGGCAUUGGUAUUUGGCCGCGAGAGGUGAAAUUCUUGGACCGGCCAAGGACUAACAGAUGCGAAGGCGUUUGUCUAGACCGUUUCCAUUAAUCAAGAACGAAAGUGGGAGGUUCGAAGACGAUCAGAUACCGUCCUAGUUCCCACUAUAAACUAUGCCGACCUGGGAUCAGUUUAGUGAUUUACAAGCUCUAGGUUGGUCCCCCUGGGAAACCUCAAGUUUUUCGGUUACGGGGAGAGUAUGGUCGCAAGUCUGAAACUUAAAGGAAUUGACGGAAGGGCACCACCAGGGGUGGAGCCUGCGGCUUAAUUUGACUCAACACGGGGAAACUUACCUGGUCCGGACAUCGAAAGGAUAGACAGAUUAAUAGAUCUUACUUGAUGCGGUGAGUGGUGGGGGCAAUUGGC